rnacentral:misc_RNA from 1 species
AUUUUAUAUGCUUACGUGUUUAAUAUAGAUUGGAAAUUGCAUUUAUCAACAUUUUUUGAAAUGCUUCAAAAAUUUCCUGGCCCUGUCACUUCAACUCCAUAACUAUUGAACUAAAAAUAUGGGCAAGAAAGAAACAACAAUGCAGUAAUCAUACAACGGAGAAUUAAAAAUAGUCUGUAAUUUUAGUCAAAAUCAAGUCUCAGUUAACUCAAAAUGGUUACUAAGUGUGCCAUAAUUUGCCACAUAUAAAAUUUUUUAAGCAACUGUUGAAGUCCUGGACCUUCCAAUUGAUUGAAAUUUGAAAAGGAUAUCUAAUGCCCAAAAUUUUCAAAUCAUAAUCCAUCCGCUAGCACACAGCUUUACACAUACAUAUAAACCAAGGAGAGAGAGAGAGAGAAAGAG